rnacentral:misc_RNA from 1 species
UGGUUCUGGCAUCGAUGAAGAACGCAGCGAAAUGCGAUAAGUAAUGUGAAUUGCAGAAUUCAGUGAAUCAUCGAAUCUUUGAACGCACAUUGCGCCCGCCAGUAUUCUGGCGGGCAUGCCUGUCCGAGCGUCAUUUCAACCCUCGAACCCCUCCGGGGGGUCGGCGUUGGGGAUCGGCCCUCCCUCGCGGGGGCCGGCCCCGAAAUACAGUGGCGGUCUCGCCGCAGCCUCUCCUGCGCAGUAGUUUGCACACUCGCACCGGGAGCGCGGCGCGUCCAAUGCCGUAAAACACCCAACUCUCUGAAAUGUUGACCUCGGAUCAGGUAGGAAUACCCGCUGA